rnacentral:rRNA from 1 species
UACGGAGGGGGCGAGCGUUAUUCGGAAUUAUUGGGCGUAAAGGGCGCGUAGGCGGCUUGAUGUGUCAAAGGUGAAAUCCCUCGGCUCAACUGAGGAACUGCCUUUGAAACUGUCUGGCUUGAGGCCGGGAGAGGGUAGCGGAAUUCCCAGUGUAGCGGUGAAAUGCGUAGAUACUGGGAGGAACACCGGUGGCGAAGGCGGUUCUCUGGGCCUUACCUGACGCUGAGGAGCGAAAGCGUGGGGAGCGAACAGG